rnacentral:rRNA from 1 species
UACGUAGGGGGCAAGCGUUGUCCGGAAUCAUUGGGCGUAAAGCGCGUGUAGGCGGCUGAGUAAGUCUGCUCUGAAAGCCCGGGGCUCAACUCCGGGAGGCGGGUGGAUACUGCUCAGCUCGAGUCCGGAAGAGGAGUGUGGAAUUCCUGGUGUAGCGGUGAAAUGCGCAGAUAUCAGGAGGAACACCAAUGGCGAAGGCAGCACUCUAGGACGGUACUGACGCUGAGACGCGAAAGCGUGGGGAGCAAACAGG